rnacentral:lncRNA from 1 species
UGAGGGAAAGCUGAUGACUACGUUGAUGCUGAUGAGAUGACUUUGAACUAGCAAACUUUGUAGGUUAUGAGUUGUUAUGUUUUUCUUCUCGGUUAAAGAUCUAGUCACUUGUUAUAAAAUAACCUAGAAUAUGGGCGAUAAUUCAGAGCUGCACGUAAAGUAGAUGAGACACAGCAUUUAACGAGGUUCGGCUAUGCCUACGUCCUCGGAGAGCAGCAGUAGUAACUUUUCCACUAUGUAAAAUAAUAGGGCUACAAGUUUAGUGUUUACAAUAUAUGUGGCUCACUGAAUUUUCUCUCUAGGAGAAUUUCUCUCUGCUCUCUCUUUCCUCUUUCUUCCUUCUCUUCCUUUCUCUUUUUUCUUCUCUUCUUCUUUCCGUUUCUCUUCUUAUUUAUAGGCUGAAAUAAUCACUAUUCAUCACUGUUCACCCGUGACAGACAAACUCUAUCAAAGCCGCCAAAUGAACAGUAAUGAACAGUAAUGAAAACUCUAUCAAGCCGCCAAAUGAACAGUAAUGAACAGUAAUGAAUAGUUAGUGGGCUCCACAUGUUUAUUCUUUUAUUCUUUUACAACACUCCCCCUUGGAGACCACUAAUGAUAUGUCGGUUGUAUCAUUAAAGACUUGCUUGGAGAAAACCUAGUAAGGUAGAGAACUGAUGGAAAGAAGAGUACAACAAUCUAUAUAGCAUACUUCUGGAUGCUCCUCCUGAUUAAUAUCUCCCCCUGAUGUCUUCAUGACUAUCUUUUGGAUUGAGAAUCUUUCGGAGUGAGUGGAUGAUGUAGCCACCAACAAUUCAUAUAGUAAAUAUAUUUUCAGUGAGCUAUCUCUAUGUAAAUCAUAGAAAUUUUCAGAGUCCGCAUAUCUAAUAACGACUGGGCUAUUUAUAAGUUCACUUGAAAGAAUAUGCCCAUACAUGGUGUUAUGCGGAAAUAGCAUCAAAUAUACCUCACAUCAUCCCAAAAUGAUGGUGAUGGAGUUGAGCCUUAUCUGGAAAAUAUGAUGUCCGGUCCAACAUACUUCCGGAAAAUCCUUAAAGUGCCCAACGGAUAAUUCUCAUAAAAAUGCUUCAAUACUUUCUUAGUAUAAGCAAGUAUCUCGUUGGCAUAAUGCUCGAUCUUUAAGUCGAGACAAAUAUUUCUGGAAUUCUUGAGAAGCUUGAAUGUGUUGCAAACACAUUAUAAUCAAUAUACUCACUGAGGCAAUUUAUGUACAUUAAUAUUGAGUACAGAUUUCGUGCUUCAGGCAUAUGUCCACAGACUUGCUUCAUGCAAUUUCAAUCCUUUCAAGGAUUUUGUUUAAAGGGAUUAAACUCUAUGACACAUUAUAUAGCUUUAACCUAGCUAUUUAUACAUCUUUAGGGAAUCACUUCAGGUGAUAUGCUCUGUGCAUUUAAUAACCCUUAAAGAUAACAUGUUGGUCUCCGUAAAUGUGCAAUAAAGGGGCACAAUUGAAUCUAUAAAUAUGGAGAAAACCCAACAUCCCUUGUUUAUGUCAAAAACAUUUAUUCCGAACACCCAAGUAUAACUUUUAAUAUUAACAUUUUUUAGGAUUCGUACUGUGGGUUUGUUCUUUCACGUUCAUUCUCAUCUAUAAUGGAAUUGCCUCAUUCCAUUUUGGCCAAUGAUAUUGUCGACAUUUAAUAAUUGAACGUGGUUCCAAUCAACACAGCCCAUUGAUGAUUUGAGUAGCUACUCCAAAACCAAAAAUUGUCAUUCAUCAAUUCAUGAUCCCACCAUUCUCAUGUGCAUGCGCAUGCAUGAAUUAUAAGCAUUUAUUUGCCUUUGGGUACCCAAGCCACUUCAUGGGGCUUUUAUUAUGUGAGAAUGUGGAUUAUAACCUCCAUUGGAGCGUUAUUUAGUAGUAGGGCGUGGAUAAUCUCUAUUUAGGGAGUUGGAACAUUGAGAACCCAUAUAUCUGUCAUGCUGCAGGCAUGCCACAGAUUAAUACAUACAUGUCAAUUAAUUUCUGGGACUUUAACCCAUAUUAUGGGACUUUAACCCAUAUAAUUUGCUACGCAUUAGGCGUGCAUAAUAUCAAUAUUGACAUGUCAAAGGAUUGUCCAUUUGGGACUUCAAUCCACAUCAUUUGCUACGCAACAGGCGUGCAUCAUAUUGAUCACUGCUAUACCCAUGUUAUGUUCUUAUGGGACUUUUAAUCUGUGCAGUGUAUUAUCAAUGUAUACAACUUGCAAUCUGUAAAAUUUGCAUUAAUAAUUCAUGGAUACAUACAAGUCAUUCUUUUGGAACGGACUUAUCUCCCCAUUUGGUUACCUUUCAAGAUAAAAUAUCAAAUAGGUAUAUAAGCAUAAAAUAACACAAGUAUUGCUUACAUCCUUAGGUGGGAGAAACUUUUCUCAAGUAUCAUUCAAGCUCAUAUCAGCCCAGUAAAUGUAAUGUAGCGCUUGAUGAUCUAGUUAUAUCCUGCAAGAGCAAAAAUCACAACUCUUUUCCCUCUGUCAAAACAAAUAACCCUUAUAGUUAGGAUUACUUCAUGGAUUCAUUCUUCAGAUGUUCAUUCUAAAGAAAUAAAAUCUCUUAUGAAUAGAGAGUUAUAAAAAGAGAAAAAAUGCAAAAAUAAUGUGAUAUUGAUUGCAAGAGCAGGUAAGCAAUCAGGGAAGGAAGCUGGUGGGAGCAGACAAUAAGCUCUCAUAUCUCCUAGUCUAGAAGGACCUCAGGAGAUUAGAGCAUAAGGCCGCCUUUACAAUUCCCUGAUCUUGCAGAAACAUGAUCAGGGAUAGUCUUGCUUCCUAAAUGGAUGAUCAGAGAUAGUCUUGCUUCUCAGGCAUAUUAAGUGCUUACUGAUAAGAAAAACAAGUAGAUAUCGCAUCACUAGGUAUGGAGUAAACUGGAUGUCUUCUGCAAAUAAAAUUUCGUUAGUAACACAUUUAUACACAAAUACAAUGAAUAGGUAGAACCGGUGAAUUUCAAAUUAACCAUAGGAAAAUUGCGAGAUUCUCGGGAUGCUGUUGAAAAAGUGCGAGAUUUUCGGGAUGCUUUUGAAAAAGUAGCUCCGUGAAAUCCGUAAAGCAAGAUCGGCUUUGAAAAUAAUGCUUGAAAAAGCCGAAAGUGCCGACAGGCAUUAUUAGAGGCCACGUGAAGUUUUGGACUCUAGGAAAGAAAAAGAUAAUAUGGGGAUUCGAGAAGAUAUUGGGGUCCUGAAAAACAGUAGCCAUAUUUCCUCCUAUAGAUAUAGCCUUUGUAAAACUUGAUUGGAGCAACUGCGUUUCAACUCAAAUUUCUUCAUUUUCUGAAACUUUAGUUUUCCUAAGACUUUCUUCGAAACCUUCUCAAAAAUGGCUUCCUCUUCUUCCUGCCCAAAUUAUUUCAAUUUAAAUGAUGCUCCAACAGCAAACAGUGACGCCAAAGUUUGGCGUCCAUCCUUUGUAUCCCAAAAUCGUCAUCUCACAGUUAAUGAUUCUGUGAUGAUGAAUGAUGCUACUGCUGUCAUAGUAGCUAGGAAUUUCAUUACUCCAAUGGAUGAAAUGCUGUUAACAGGGAGGUCUGAGGAAGAGGCUAUUGAUGACUCAAUGGCUUUUAGCAUUCAGAGUGCUGUUUCUGUUUCUAACAUGGCUGAUCGUUUGCGUGUUAGAGCAAACGAGGUUGAAAAGCUGACAACUGAAAAUUCGUCUCUCCAAAGAAUGCUUCAUGAGUCUCAACAGGAGGUUGAGAAACUUAAAGGAGAGAAUAAUUCCUUGUUGAAACUGGUGAGUUCGUACUCAGUUGAUACACUGAGAAGGCUAGACAUGCUGCAGGUCUCCAAUGAAAGAAUUUUGGGAGACCACGAGAAGCUCAUGGCUAAGCUUAAGAGGCGCCGUCCUCUUCCUUCAGAGGCUUCCAGAACAUAAUGUAAUUUUAUAGAUUUUACAGGGCCUGCACCUUCAUUGCAGGUGGAAAAAAUCUAUCUGUUGUAUGUUUCUGUAAUAAUAAUUGCGCACAUUCUUAAACUUGCACCUGUGGUUUUUACGUCUUUUCAAAAUGACGGUUUGGAACCUUGUGCCUUAUAGGUUCAAAUAACCACAUUGUCUCUCCCAAAUUGCAUGGUAGCCCGGAACUUUUGGCCUGGGCACAAAACUCAGAAUUUAUUUGCCCUUUUCAAAUGGACAUGAAAUAUGAAUUGAGUAAAAGCCACGAUAAUAUCGCAAUAUAGUAGUGAAGAGCAUUAACUACUAUAUACCCACAACUUCAAGUUCAGGAUCUCUCAUAUAUUUGGAUCCAUGGGCUUCCGGCCCAGGUAUAAUAAAAUAUGUGGGGAGCAUCAAUUCAUUAUUUGAAGUUUAUAUUGAUAUUAUCCAUUUCGCGGUGUAUUCUUAACAACCGGAAUUCACAAAAUAUAUUUCUUCCUUGAGGUGUCGAUUAUAACAGAAUCGAACUUUAUUAAAUUCAUCAUCUUCUUAUGCUAAAGAAAUAUGUGGUGUACCACAAUUUGUAAUAAUACCUCAAUACUCUUAAAUUUUGAACUUCAGGCCAAAGCCACAUAUUCUCAUGGUAUGGACAUUUUUACAAUUUUCUGUACAUAUUCCGGGACUUCAAGCCCUUACAUAAUUGUCCAUAUUUUGAGGAACUUCUGGCAUCUCAUUUAAUUUCUCAUCCAUGAGUUUAAGGAACUGCAGGUUCCCUUUUGUAUAUAGUGACGGUUUACCCAAAAUGGUUCAUAUUUAUGCAUACGUCACUAUUCAUGUGAAUAGUACUGUUCAUCAAGUCAUGAAUACAUAUCUAUUCAUGUGUACAGUACAUCUGCCAGUACAGUUAUCAUCCAUGUGUACGGCACUAUGAACCAAUACGGUACUAUUACAUCAUUAAGGAACCCCAGGUCCUUAUUCACAUGUCAGGGAUCAAGGACCUUUAAGUCCAAUCACAUGUUUACAAGUAUAGUACCGGAGAGACUGCCAGCUCUCAUAUCAAUAUCAUCAUCAAGGAUCUUCAAGUCCUGAUGUAAUUGUAUGAUGAGGAUCAAGGAAUUGCUGGUCCUGAUCUGCAUACUGUAAAAACUCAUCAUACAGCACAUUUAGUCUAUAAAAUAAAUUGCUGGUAAAUAAAUUACUGGUAUGGACGAUAAAACCCGCACCACACUUUAAAUAAAAGUAAAGGCGUGGACGAUAAACCCGCACCACCCUUUUAAAUAAAUGUAAAUGUGCGGUAAUUUAAAUUCAUAAAUUAAACGUGCGUGUAUGGGCACUAAUUCUGCUCCAUACUUUUAAAUGAACGUAAAGGCGUGGACGAUAAACCCGCACCACCCUUUUAAAUAAAUGUAAAUGUGCGGUAAUUUAAAUUCAUAAAUUAAAUUGUUAGUAUUAGUAACGGUCUCCCACUGAUAAUAUGUUUAGUAUUACCAAGGGUCCAUUUUUGUUAAUGGUUAGUAAUAGAAAAGCAGAUAAAUAUAGUAUAUUAUAUUACCAUCAACUUUUCAUAUAUAUAUAUAUAUAUUAGUGGAAAGCUAGAUGCGUUGGCUUUUCUUCUUUACAUCAACAUAAUGGUUAGUAUUAUAAAUAAUAGUGCAGCACAAAAAUUAUACCUGAGAGCUUCUCGUGCUGAUAACGUGUUAUAAAAUAACCUAGAAUAUGGGCGAUAAUUCAGAGCUGCACGUAAAGUAGAUGAGACACAGCAUUUAACGAGGUUCGGCUAUGCCUACGUCCUCGGAGAGCAGCAGUAGUAACUUUUCCACUAUGUAAAAUAAUAGGGCUACAAGUUUAGUGUUUACAAUAUAUGUGGCUCACUGAAUUUUCUCUCUAGGAGAAUUUCUCUCUGCUCUCUCUUUCCUCUUUCUUCCUUCUCUUCCUUUCUCUUUUUUCUUCUCUUCUUCUUUCCGUUUCUCUUCUUAUUUAUAGGCUGAAAUAAUCACUAUUCAUCACUGUUCACCCGUGACAGACAAACUCUAUCAAAGCCGCCAAAUGAACAGUAAUGAACAGUAAUGAAAACUCUAUCAAGCCGCCAAAUGAACAGUAAUGAACAGUAAUGAAUAGUUAGUGGGCUCCACAUGUUUAUUCUUUUAUUCUUUUACAACAUCACUCUGUUUGACAAAAAGGAAAAAGAAAAAAGAAAUAGUCACUCUGUGAAUGUACUAACCAUUGUGGGCGUAGAUUAUGGAUUUUUGAUGGGAGCAUAACCAUUUGUGAAAGCUGACUACGCAAUUGCAUGCUCCUACAAUCACUUCAUGGAAGCUAGUAAAAGGGUCGGAUUUAGAUUAAGCAUUUUUGACGUGUUUAUUAUCCUGACCCGAACCCAAAAAUGGGGGCAUGGGUUUGAUUUGAAGUGGGCCAAAUCGAUUUGGGAACGGAUUACCCACAGCCGUUAGAUUGCAACGGUCACAAAGACAUCAGAAAUAAAGUAAAAGCUUUACCAAUUAAAGUAAAGUGCCUUGACUUGUGCGCGUGCGUGAACAUGGAAGAGGGGUCGGUUGCUGGGAUGGGACCUUUUUUAUUUUAUUUUUACGUCGUCUUUAUGUUGUCUUUUUUUUUUUUAUAUAAAAAAGUCUAUGUUCAUAGAUCAUCUUUGCAAAAAAUUAGACAUCAAAACUAUUUCGACAUCCAAUUGUGUCCUACGAAAUCAAUGAAUACGGUGCUUCAAGAAAGUAUUAAAAUUU